UGUACUGGCUGUUCCAUCAAUU
rnacentral:miRNA from 1 species